CCUACGAGUGGCAGCAGUGAGGAAUAUUCGUCAAUGGACGCAAGUCUGAACCAGCCAUGCCGCGUGCAUGAAGACGGCUCUCUGAGUUGUAAACUGCUUUUGUACGAGGGUAAACGCAGAUACGUGUAUCUGUCUGAAAGUAUCGUACGAUUAAGGAUCGGCUAACUCCGUGCCAGCAGCCGCGGUAAUACGGAGGAUUCAAGCGUUAUCCGGAUUUAUUUGGUUUAAAGGGUGCGUAGGCGGUCGGAUAAGUUAGAGGGGAAAUCCCGAGGCGCAACUUCGGAAUUGCCUCUGAUACUGUUCGGCUAGAGAGUAGUUGCGGUAGGCGGAAUGUAUGGUGUAGCGGUGAAAUGCUUAGAGAUAAUACAGAACACCGAUUGCGAAGGCAGCUUACCAAGUUACUUCUGACGUUGAGGCACGAAAGCGUGGGGAGCAAACAGGAUUAGAUACCCUUGUAGUC
rnacentral:rRNA from 1 species